UCAAAACAAUAUUGAACGCAACAUGGCGAAAUGCAGGGCCGCCAUUGCUGCUCUUAGGGGACUGUUCUUCAAGCUUCUUCGGUGAGUCCCUGCCUUUACAAAAAUGAUACGAUACGAUUUCACCUCUAAGCUCUUCUUUUUGCUCGAUUUCUGCAAAUCAAUCCACCAAAUCAAACAAACCCAUGCUCAACUGAUCACUACUGGUCUUGUUCUACACCCAAUUGCCACUAAUAAACUCCUCAAACUUCUUUCCUUCUCAAGAUUUGCUUCCAUUUCUUAUGCCCAAAUGGUGUUCGAUCAUUUUCCCCAACCAGAUCUCUUCCUCUAUAACACCAUCAUCAAAGCCCACGCGCUUUCGGCCACUUCCUCUGCAGAUUCCUUCACAAGGUUUCGUUCUCUGAUCCGCGAUGGAAGGUUAGUGCCCAAUCAGUAUUCUUUUGCAUUUGCCUUCAAGGGGUGUGGCAAUGCUGUUGGGGUUUUGGAAGGGGAGCAAGUUCGUGCUCAUGCUGUUAAACUUGGUUUGGAGAAUAAUUUGUUUGUGAUGAAUGCGUUGAUUGGGAUGUAUGUGAAUUUGGGGGUUGUUGGGGAUGCUAGAAAGGUGUUUGAUUGGAGCACAAUUAGAGAUAUGUACUCGUGGAAUAUCAUGCUUAGUGGGUAUGCGAAAUUGGGGAAAAUGGAUGAUGCUCGGGAACUGUUUGAUGAAAUGCCUGAAAGAGAUGUUGUGUCGUGGACAACAAUGAUUGCUGGAUGUGUCCAGGUUGGUCAUUUCAUGGAGGCUUUGGAUAUCUUCCACAAGAUGCUGCAAAAAGGGGUGGGCCCAAAUGAGUACACGUUGGCCAGUGCCCUUGCAGCCUGUGCUAAUCUUGUGGCGUUGGACCAAGGAAGAUGGAUGCAUGUUUAUAUUCGAAAGAAUGAGAUACCGUUGAAUGAUCGGUUGCUAGCCGGACUCAUUGACAUGUAUGUAAAAUGUGGAGAGUUAGAGUUUGCCUCGAAGCUUUUCAACAGUGAACGGAUGUCGAUUCGGAAGGUUUGGCCCUGGAAUGCCAUGAUUGGUGGGUUUGCAAUGCAUGGGAAAUCUAAGGAAGCAAUUGAGCUUUUUGAACAAAUGAAGGUAGAAAAAGUAUCUCCCAACAAAGUUACAUUUGUUGCUUUGUUAAAUGCUUGCAGUCAUGGGAAUAGAGUUGAAGAAGGAAGAGGCUACUUCGAAUCAAUGGCUGGUCGCUUUGGAGUCGAGCCUGAGUUAGAGCAUUAUGGAUGCAUGGUGGAUCUACUGGGACGUUCGGGACGCUUGAAAGAAGCCGAAGAGAUCAUAUCAAGUAUGCCUUUGGCACCAGAUGUAGCUAUCUGGGGCGCAUUGCUUAGUGCUUGCAAAACCCAUAAGGAUAUUGAAAUGGGAGAGAGAAUUGGGAAAAUUGUUAGAGAGCUGGAUUCUGACCAUCUGGGUUGCCAUGUUUUAUUAGCAAAUAUGUAUUCCUUGACUGGGAAUUGGAAUGAAGCCAGGACAUUAAGGGAGAAGAUUGCAGUAAGUGGGAAAAAGAAGACUCCUGGUUGCAGCUCCAUCGAGUUGAACGGGACGUUCCAUCAAUUUCUUGUAGGUGAUCGGUCCCAUCCUCAAACUAAAGAGCUGUAUAUGUUCUUGGAUGAGAUGACCACCAAGUUGAAGAUGGCUGGUUACAUCCCUGAAUCCGGAGAAGUUUUGCUGGAUAUCGAUGACAAUGAGGACAGAGAAACAGCUCUGUUGAAGCACAGUGAGAAGUUGGCUAUUGCCUUUGGGUUGAUGAACACCGCACCUAAAACUCCAAUUCGCAUUGUGAAGAACUUGAGAGUAUGUGGAGAUUGUCAUCUAGCUAUAAAGUUCAUUUCCAAGGUAUACGAUAGGGAGAUUGUUGUAAGGGACAGAAUUAGAUAUCACCACUUUAAAGAUGGAGCUUGUUCGUGCAACGAUUACUGGUAGCGUUUGUUGUUUAUCUGCUAAUCUGCAUAGCUACACCUUCAAACUCUGGUGAUCUGGGCGGUUUUCCUCUCGACGAUGAAGCCUAUCCCCCAUCGUCUCAUUGGCCGACCUUAACCCCGGUUAUUUUGAGAUCUUAUUUAGUAUUCAGAAUUUGCCUCGAUUUGGUACCACUCUCGCGGCCCGCACCAAAACCGUGCUUUACCCCUAGAUGUCCAGUCAAGCCAUUUCCCUUUUUCUUGGGGAUCAAACUCCAGGGAAAGCCUUCAUCGUUCAGAAGCACACAACUCGACGUUUUCUUAUUCUACCAUUAAUAUCUCAAGUCUGAGACAAUGCAUCGUACAAAUCCCUUCAAUCCAUCCACCGCCGGAAAACAUUUAAGGUAUUAUAUCCUAUGAAAAGGCUGAGUUCAAAUCUUCCCUUGGUCUCUACUCCUCCCUCAUCCUAUUUAAAUAGAAUUACGAUAAAACGUUUUUUUUAAUGAAAGAACUUGAUCAACCUGUUCUCUUAUAUUUGUGAACGUAUGGACUAGUUUGCAUGCAAUUCAACCAUCAUUAUGGCACAAAUCGAAUGGUAUUCACUAGCGCCUCACCCUAUGGUUGAAAGGAAGUAUUCCUUUUACUCCAUCCACUUUUCUACUUUUAUGCAAUUGUGAUAAAGGUGAUAAAUUGUACCUUCGUUGUUGAGUUUUAUCACAUAAUAAGUUUGGGUUGUUUAGUAAAGUUCAUUUUAAGAAAUUGAGACCAUUCCUAAUUCCAUUACUCUUA